GGAGAGAUGACAGAGUGGCCGAUUGUGCAGCACUGGAAAUGCUGUGUCUCGGGUAACCGGGACCGGGGGUUCGAAUCCCCCUCUCUCCGC
rnacentral:tRNA from 3 species